rnacentral:misc_RNA from 1 species
CUUCUUUUUUUUUUUUUUCUUUUUGUUUGGGCAUAGUUUGGUUUGGGUUGUCUUUAAGUUGAUUCCGUUUUCUGAUUCUAUUUAGAUCCCAUAUUCUCCUCUCCUUUAAUUUCCCUCUCGUUGGUUCGGAUCUAUCUAUGCUUAGACCACCAAAACCCACUUCAUCAUAUAAUCUGCUUCAUCAUCAACGGCUAUAUCACCAUCACCAUCAUCAUUAGCAGUAACAAGGGGACAAAAUGGAUUAUGCAGAGAAGAUGCAGCGGUGCCAUGAAUAUGUGGAGGCAUUAGAGGAAGAAAAGCGUAAGAUUCAAGUUUUUCAACGCGAGCUUCCUUUGUGUUUAGAGCUUGUCACGCAAGGUUUGUGAUUUUUCUUUUCUUCUCCUGUUACUGUUUUAAUUAAGGGAUGGUUGAUUUUUGAGGGUGUCGUUGUGGUGUUGAUGGGUGCAGCGAUCGAGGCUUGUAGGAGGGAGUUAUCGGGUACGACGACGGAGUACAUGCAUGGGCAAUCAGAGUGCUCGGAGCAAACGAUGAGUGAAGGAACUAGACCUGUGCUUGAGGAAUUUAUUCCCAUCAAGAGGACUAAUUCUUCUUCUGAUAAUGAUGAUAAUGAAAAUGAUAAUGAUGAUCAAGAACAGCAUUCACACAAGCGAAACCAAACUAUCAUCAGCAACAGCAGCAACAAGGACAAAAACAGCAGUGAUCAUAAGAAGAAAUCUGAUUGGCUUAGAUCUGUCCAGUUGUGGAAUCAGUCCCCAGAUCCACCUCCCAAAGAGGAUGUGCCCAGAAAGGCAGUGGUGACGGAGGUGAAGAGGAAUGGAGGUGCAUUUCAGCCAUUUCACAAAGAGAAAACUACAGGGAAGAGUAUUCAGACUAUUGCUAAAACCCCAUCUUCAGUGCCGGCUUCCGCAACCAGUUCGACGGCGGGGACAGGAGCAGGAGCAGGAGCAGGAGGAUUUUGUUUGACAGUGUAAACUAAAAGAUCAUCGUCCUCACCCUGAUUCUCAUACG